AAUUUCGAAUAGAAAUAACGUGACUUCCAGUUUGCAUCAGAGUAGGUGCUCUUCCUUGCACAGAUGAGUGCCAGAUAAGCAAGAAUGCCGAUUAGGGCGAACAUAAUACAGUGCGUGGAAAUGCAAUACUCUACACAGAAAUGAAACCCGAGUAAACAGGAAAAUAGGAUUUAUGACAUGACCAACGUUUUCAUAGAAACGCGGGAGGCUUUGCUGGAUGAUUGAUUAGCGAGAGUCUACUGUAUCAAAUGGAACAGCCAUCAAGAAAAUUUCCCCGAGCUAUUCUAAAUCAUCUUACCCUAGGGUAAGAUUAUUAAGGUAGCUUCGGGAUAUU